rnacentral:rRNA from 1 species
CGACUCACUCCAACCCCUGUGACAUACCACUUGUUGCCUCGGCGGAUCAGCCCGCUCCCGGUAAAACGGGACGGCCCGCCAGAGGACCCCUAAACUCUGUUUCUAUAUGUAACUUCUGAGUAAAACCAUAAAUAAAUCAAAACUUUCAACAACGGAUCUCUUGGUUCUGGCAUCGAUGAAGAACGCAGCAAAAUGCGAUAAGUAAUGUGAAUUGCAGAAUUCAGUGAAUCAUCGAAUCUUUGAACGCACAUUGCGCCCGCCAGUAUUCUGGCGGGCAUGCCUGUUCGAGCGUCAUUUCAACCCUCAAGCACAGCUUGGUGUUGGGACUCGCGUUAAUUCGCGUUCCCCAAAUUGAUUGGCGGUCACGUCGAGCUUCCAUAGCGUAGUAGUAAAACCCUCGUUACUGGUAAUCGUCGCGGCCACGCCGUUAAACCCCAACUUCUGAAUGUUGACCUCGGAUCAGGUAGGAAUACCCGCUGAACUUAAGCAUAUCAAUAAGCGGAGGAA